AUUGAACGCUGGCGGAAUGCUUUACACAUGCAAGUCGAACGGCAGCACGGACUUCGGUCUGGUGGCGAGUGGCGAACGGGUGAGUAAUGUAUCGGAACGUGCCCAGUCGUGGGGGAUAACGUAGUGAAAAUUACGCUAAUACCGCAUACGAUCUAUGGAUGAAAGCGGGGGAUCGCAAGACCUCGCGCGAUUGGAGCGGCCGAUAUCAGAUUAGGUAGUUGGUGGGGUAAAGGCCCACCAAGCCAACGAUCUGUAGCUGGUCUGAGAGGACGACCAGCCACACUGGAACUGAGAAACGGUCCAGACUCCUACGGGAGGCAGCAGUGGGGAAUUUUGGACAAUGGGAGAAAGCCUGAUCCAGCCAUUCCGCGUGCAGGAUGAAGGCCCUCGGGUUGUAAACUGCUUUUGUACGGAACGAAAAGGUUUCUACUAAUACUAGGAGCUCAUGACGGUACUGUAAGAAUAAGCACCGGCUAACUACGUGCCAGCCGCCGCCGUAA
rnacentral:rRNA from 1 species